CUUAAACAUGCAAGUCGAACGAUGAAGCCCAUCUUGCUGGGUGGAUUAGUGGCGAACGGGUGAGUAACACGUGAGUAACCUGCCCUUAACUCUGGGAUAAGCCUGGGAAACUGGGUCUAAUACCGGAUAGGAGCGUCCACCGCAUGGUGGGUGUUGGAAAGAUUUAUCGGUUUUGGAUGGACUCGCGGCCUAUCAGCUUGUUGGUGAGGUAAUGGCUCACCAAGGCGACGACGGGUAGCCGGCCUGAGAGGGUGACCGGCCACACUGGGACUGAGACACGGCCCAGACUCCUACGGGAGGCAGCAGUGGGGAAUAUUGCACAAUGGGCGCAAGCCUGAUGCAGCGACGCCGCGUGAGGGAUGACGGCCUUCGGGUUGUAAACCUCUUUCAGUAGGGAAGAAGCGAAAGUGACGGUACCUGCAGAAGAAGCACCGGCUAACUACGUGCCAGCAGCCGCGGUAAUACGUAGGGUGCGAGCGUUAUCCGGAAUUAUUGGGCGUAAAGAGCUCGUAGGCGGUUUGUCGCGUCUGUCGUGAAAGUCCGGGGCUUAACCCCGGAUCUGCGGUGGGUACGGGCAGACUAGAGUGCAGUAGGGGAGACUGGAAUUCCUGGUGUAGCGGUGGAAUGCGCAGAUAUCAGGAGGAACACCGAUGGCGAAGGCAGGUCUCUGGGCUGUCCAGGUGAGGAGCGAAAGCAUGGGGAGCGAACAGGAUUAGAUACCCUGGUAGUCCAUGCCGUAAACGUUGGGCACUAGGUGUGGGGACCAUUCCACGGUUUCCGCGCCGCAGCUAACGCAUUAAGUGCCCCGCCUGGGGAGUACGGCCGCAAGGCUAAAACUCAAAGGAAUUGACGGGGGCCCGCACAAGCGGCGGAGCAUGCGGAUUAAUUCGAUGCAACGCGAAGAACCUUACCAAGGCUUGACAUGUUCUCGAUCGCCGUAGAGAUACGGUUUCCCCUUUGGGGCGGGUUCACAGGUGGUGCAUGGUUGUCGUCAGCUCGUGUCGUGAGAUGUUGGGUUAAGUCCCGCAACGAGCGCAACCCUCGUUCCAUGUUGCCAGCACGUCGUGGUGGGGACUCAUGGGAGACUGCCGGGGUCAACUCGGAGGAAGGUGAGGACGACGUCAAAUCAUCAUGCCCCUUAUGUCUUGGGCUUCACGCAUGCUACAAUGGCCGGUACAAUGGGUUGCGAUACUGUGAGGUGGAGCUAAUCCCAAAAAGCCGGUCUCAGUUCGGAUUGGGGUCUGCAACUCGACCCCAUGAAGUCGGAGUCGCUAGUAAUCGCAGAUCAGCAACGCUGCGGUGAAUACGUUCCCGGGCCUUGUACACACCGCCCGUCAAGUCACGAAAGUUGGUAACACCCGAAGCCGGUGAGCUCUAACCCUUGUGGGGGGAGCCGUCGAA
rnacentral:rRNA from 1 species